AGUCGUAACAAGGUUUCCGUAGGUGAACCUGCGGAAGGAUCAUUAUAGAAUUGGUAGCUCUGCUGCCGUAACUAUACUAUACUGUUUACAUUCCUGUUGCUUCCCCAUCAUAUGGGUGCCUCUAGUUUUACUGGUUGUGCUCGAUGGGGAACUUUAGUUAAACAUAUUUUGUUUUUAUUCUGAAUCUUAAAUAAUAAAAUUAUUUAAAACUUUCAACAACGGAUCUCUAGGCUCUU
rnacentral:misc_RNA from 1 species